CACGGCGCGGGCGUUGACGCCUGCGACACAGUCUGCCGUUGUGAUUUUGAGAGAAUAUUACUUGCGUUUAGAUUACAACUAUCCAACGCAAUUUAAUAUCAGUGUUUCUAGCCCAAUAUAUCCUUCGUUUGAUAUUUUUAAGGAGGAAAAUCAUUAUUGUUUGAGUUGUACCUGAGCUAAGCAAAUAUGAUCAAGAAUCGAAGCCUUGCUGGAAAGUGGGCAAUAGGCUUGUUUUCUCUCACAUUAAUUCUUGUAGUACUUGCUUUUUCAACUCAGAAUUGGCUCGCCAGUGACGACCGUUUCUAUGGCGCAAAGUUGGAGAAAAUGGGAUUGUGGGUUCAUUGCUUCAGGAGCCUUACUGGCCCAAACGAUCCCACGCAGCGUCUGUUCUUCAGUGGCUGUCGCUGGCUGUUUGAUACCUACACAACAGGCUAUGCUGAGAUUCGAAGCCACUUAACACCUCCAUUCUUCAUAGCUGUGCAGAUGUUCUACACCCUGACUUUCAUGUGCACGGCAACAAGCGGAGUUCUGGUUCUGAUGCUGAUGUUUUGUAUCGACGAGGACCGUGAAACGUGCUUCCUGAGAGUGAUCGCCACUCUGAUGGGACUGUCUGGCAUUUGCGGCACGUUGUCUGUGAUCAUAUUCGGCGCCAGCGGUCGCAGCUACGAGUGGACCGCCGACAAACAGCACAACUAUCUGUCCUGGAGCUACGGUCUAGGUGUUCUGGCCAGCUUCCUGGCCCUGUGCGACAUGACGCUAUUCCUGGUCGAUGCCCGCAUCAAGCAGCGUAAACUGGAGGGCCGCGGCUCCACCCGACCGAAAGUCAAGGAUACAGAGAUAUAGUGGCGUUCCGGCCGCCACGGCAGAGGCUAACCAUGUGCUGGCACGCCGUCCUCGCGGCGUUCCUGCAGCUCGUGCUCUGCGUACUGGUUAUCAACGAGGUCAGAAUCACAAGAAAGAAACACAGUCGCAUGAUGCCGCCGCAGCAGGCAGCAGAAGUGGAUCUGUAAUUGAUACAUCGCUACCCAGUGGCAAUGUUAACAACUUCAGCUGCCGGCAGCGCCACCAGAGGCGCUCGUAAUCGUGUUUGUUCUAUGGUGAACAUUGAUAUGUUCUGUUACGUGUACCGUGGUUCGGAGGAACUGAUCUGUGGAAAGUGUAUCGUUUUUAUAUGAAUCUCUUUUGAAGAUGAAGUCGUGAUCUUACAUUUAAAAGCCGACUUCCACUUCAGCUAAAGUUAUCUAAUUACCUGGAUCGUCCGUCUGUUAUCUCAACUCAUAAUUGAGCUCAUAUGUUACAACCUUUUGCAUUGA